GGGGGUAUAGCUCAGUUGGGAGAGCACCUCCCUUACAAGGAAGAGGUCAUCGGUUCGAUCCCGUUUACCUCCACCA
rnacentral:tRNA from 1 species